rnacentral:rRNA from 1 species
ACACUCCUACGGGAGGCAGCAGUGGGGAAUUUUGGACAAUGGGCGAAAGCCUGAUCCAGCAAUGCCGCGUGAGUGAAGAAGGCCUUCGGGUUGUAAAGCUCUUUUGUCAGGGAAGAAACGGUGAAAGCUAAUAUCUUUUGCUAAUGACGGUACCUGAAGAAUAAGCACCGGCUAACUACGUGCCAGCAGCCGCGGUAAUACGUAGGGUGCAAGCGUUAAUCGGAAUUACUGGGCGUAAAGCGUGCGCAGGCGGUUUUGUAAGUCUGAUGUGAAAUCCCCGGGCUCAACCUGGGAAUUGCAUUGGAGACUGCAAGGCUAGAAUCUGGCAGAGGGGGGUAGAAUUCCACGUGUAGCAGUGAAAUGCGUAGAUAUGUGGAGGAACACCGAUGGCGAAGGCAGCCCCCUGGGUCAAGAUUGACGCUCAUGCACGAAAGCGUGGGGAGCAAACAGGAUUAGAUACCCGAGUAGUCCCAUGAU